rnacentral:rRNA from 1 species
UACGAAGGGGGCUAGCGUUGCUCGGAAUCACUGGGCGUAAAGGGUGCGUAGGCGGGUCUUUAAGUCAGGGGUGAAAUCCUGGAGCUCAACUCCAGAACUGCCUUUGAUACUGAAGAUCUUGAGUUCGGGAGAGGUGAGUGGAACUGCGAGUGUAGAGGUGAGAUUCGUAGAUAUUCGCAAGAACACCAGUGGCGAAGGCGGCUCACUGGCCCGGAACUGACGCUGAGACGCGAAAGCGUGGGGAGCAAACAGG